UACGGAGGGUGCGAGCGUUGUCCGGAAUCACUGGGCGUAAAGGGCGCGUAGGUGGCGCGGGCAGUCAACGGUGAAAGUUCGGGGCUCAACCCUGAAUCGGCCGUCGAUACUCCCGGGCUGGAGCACUGUAGAGGCUAAUGGAAUUCCGGGUGUAGCGGUGGAAUGCGUAGAGAUCCGGAAGAACACCGGUGGCGAAGGCGGUUAGCUGGGCAGUUGCUGGACACUGAGGCGCGACAGCGUGGGGAGCAACAGGAUAGAAACCCCGGUG
rnacentral:rRNA from 1 species